GUGAGUCAUCGAAUCUUUGAACGCACAUUGCGCCCCCUGGCACUCCGGGGGGCAUGCCUGUCCGAGCGUCAUUGCAACCCUCAAGCGCCGCUUGGUGUUGGGCGGCACCGCCCGCGGUGCGCCCCAAAGGCAGUGGCGGCGCCGCACGGCCCCGAGCGCAGUAACGCUCUCGCUCCGGGGACCGGCGCGCGCCCGCCAGCAACUCAACCCCACAGGUUGACCUCGGAUCAGGUAGGGAUACCCGCUGAACUUAAGCAUAUCAAUAAGCGGAGGA
rnacentral:misc_RNA from 1 species